rnacentral:rRNA from 1 species
UACGUAGGGGGCUAGCGUUGUCCGGAAUCAUUGGGCGUAAAGCGCGUGUAGGCGGUCCGGAAAGUCCGCUGUGAAAGUCGGGGGCUCAACCCUCGAAUGCCGGUGGAUACUGUCGGGCUAGAGUGCGGAAGAGGCGAGUGGAAUUCCUGGUGUAGCGGUGAAAUGCGCAGAUAUCAGGAGGAACACCAAUUGCGAAGGCAGCUCGCUGGGACGUUACUGACGCUGAGACGCGAAAGCGUGGGGAGCAAACAGG